GCUGCGGGGAGGAAAGCUAGGGGACUAUCCUGGCUACUCUGGUGUUUGGCUGUGCCUGGCUGUGCCUUGCUGCGCCUCAGGGCCCGCGUGGCCAGUGGGGGAGCCGCGGUUGGAGUGGGAGGGGGAGUCCGCUCCCGAGAGGUGGAAGAGGACGGGCUCACGCUGGGAGCGCCUUAGAGGAGCCGUUUUCCAGGAUGGCUGAUUUGGUUUUUUGUGAGCCAACAGAACUUUACAACAUCUUGAAUCAGGUUACAAAACUGUCCAGAUUAACUGAACCCAACUAUCUCUGUUUAUUGGAUGUUCGUUCCAAAAGGGAGUACGAUGAGAGUCAUGUGAUCACAGCCCUUCGUGUGAAGAAGAAGGAUAAAGACUACCUCAUCCCUGAGUCCGUGGACCUGGAGUGUGUAAGAUACUGUGUGGUGUAUGACAGCAACACCAGCACCCUGGAGAUGACCCUAGUCUGCAAUGAAAACGAGGAUGAUAAUGACUUUGACAAUUCUGGCCCAGAACUGGCGCUCGGACCUGCAGUGGAGUGUGGCAAACGGCUGAGCAACUUCACCCGCAAUCCUGUGCAUAUCCUGAAAGGGGGAUACCAGCGCUUCUCAGGCCUGUACCACUUCUUUCGGACCCAGAAGAUCAUCUGGAUGCCCCAGGAACUAGAUGCAUUUCAGCCAUAUCCUGUUGAAAUAAUUCCUGGAAAGAUCUUUCUGGGAAAUUUCAGUCAAGCCUGUGACCCUCAAGUGCAGAAGGAUUUGAAAAUCAAAGCACAUAUCAAUGUCUCCAUGGAGAUGGGACCCUUUUUUGCAGGUGACCCUGACAACCUUCUCCACAUCCAGAUAGAAGAUACUCCAGACGUCAAGAUUAUUCCUUUUUUACGUCACCUCUGUCACUUCCUUGAAAUUCACCUGGAGCUUGGCUCUGUCGUUCUGGUCUUUUCUACCCGGGGCAUCAGUCGCAGUUGUGCCGUUAUUGUGGCCUUCCUCAUGCACUGGAGAGAGGAGUCCUUGCAGAGGUCCUGGGCCUAUGUCAAGAAGUGCAAAAAUAACAUGCGUCCAAAUUGGGGAUUGGUGACUCAGCUGUCGGAGUGGGAAAAGAUUGUCCUUGGAGACACUGUUACAGACAUCUUCAAUCCACCAUACUAAUCUCUGAGGCCCAGAGAUGGGCGCUGAAGAACCUUCCUUGGGACCUUUGUGGGCAGAGGGCAAGCAUGUGUACCCAGGUCUUGGUUUGCUCCCAGCACCGCGGGCUGGGGCACUGCAGGAAGCACCACGGCAUGCAGUUGGCACGGCAGGUGGAACCCCGGCCAGGGGCCGCAGCCACCUUAGCCACCAAGCUGGCCUAAAGACGCC